rnacentral:rRNA from 1 species
UGCGGGGGGGGCAAGCGUUGUUCGGAAUUACUGGGCGUAAAGGGCUCGUAGGUGGCCAACUAAGUCAGACGUGAAAUCCCUCGGCUUAACCGGGGAACUGCGUCUGAUACUGGAUGGCUAGAGUUUGGGAGAGGGAUGCGGAAUUCCAGGUGUAGCGGUGAAAUGCGUAGAUAUCAGGAGGAACACCGGUGGCGAAGGCGGGUCUCUGGGCAGUAACUGACGCUGAGGAGCGAAAGCGUGGGGAGCGAACAGG